UACGGGGGGGGGCAAGCGUUGUUCGGAAUUACUGGGCGUAAAGGCGCGUAGGCGGCCGAUCAAGUCAGAUGUGAAAGUCCUGGGCUUAACCUGGGGACUGCAUUUGAUACUGAUUGGCUUGAAUGCAGGAGAGGAUAGCGGAAUUCCCAGUGUAGAGGUGAAAUUCGUAGAUAUUGGGAAGAACACCGAUGGCGAAGGCAGGUCUCUGGGCCACUACUGACGCUGAGAAGCGAAAGCAUGGGGAGCGAACAGG
rnacentral:rRNA from 1 species